CCUUGUACUUUCUCCUUUGUCCCUUCUCUACCCUCCUGACUCCUCACUCUACAUCUCAAGUUGCUCCCGUAGGUUGCUGAGUUCCAGUGGCUAGAUCACUAUAUUAUUGGAGGGUAUGGGCUAGAACGAGAGCCAGUGGCUGGUCAACAACGUGGGUCUAUUUUUUCAAAAAGUCUUUACUUUCAUCUAAAUGGAAUGACCUGAUCCCCUGGGCUAGAACAAUGGAGGACUUGGAGGGGACAAGCUGAUGCCACUCUUGUCUGUGGAACCUUAAGAAUUUGAAGACAUCUCAGACCUCUGGGAGCACCCCGGGAUCCUCAGGAAUGCCUAAAGUAGGUUCAGCUGAAAGCAGCCCAAAGUCUAGGCAUUGUUGUGGCCUGACUAGCCCCAACGAAACUGAAAAGGAAGCCAAGUGUGAAUGUUUCCCUCUCUGGAUGCCAGCCUGCUUCUGAAGAGUGUUCUCUGACCCAGGCAGCUAUGAUCACAGUUCUCAGCUAUUUAACAGAAAGUGAACAGAUGGAAGUCGGUGGAAAUCCACAUGUUUGGUUAGCAAAUGCCCUCACACCCAAAUCUGGGGAUGAAGAAGGCUGGAAUUUCUGUUUUAUCAAAGGUGAAAGGUCAUGGUGAAGGGGCUGAUGCUAUAGCAAUUACCAAGGAAAUGCUAGAAAUUGAUAAUGCAUAACUUGGUGUUCCUCUUCUGCUUAUAUUGUUAGUAGGAUGAAUCCCCCAAGAAUACUUAUUGAACAAAAUUGGUUUGAAGAAAGGAUUUUAAUCCAGGAUUGAGAAAUACUUAUCAUUGUGCCUGGCAUAUAGUAGAUGCUUAAUGCAUGUUUAUUGAUUGAUUAAUGGAUUGAAAAGAUGACUUUCUGCUUCAUUAGCUUGCCUUGAAAACCCUUAGCACCUGAAGUUCAUUCAUUAAUGUGUCAACUUCCAAGAUGGCACCCAAAACCUGAGACUCUUAGAGAGAGUAAAGUUGAGAGAAUAAUUGUUGUGAAUUUAUUCCUCUGCUGGGGAGCAAGCAUUCUGAUCAGUGUGACCUGGCUGAUAAAACAUCUUGAUAUAGCUGCAUAUUUUUGGCAUAAAAGAUGCCAGCAACGUUACCACAGUGCAAGCAAAAUAAUGAACCCCUGGAAGAUUUUCACCAAAACUUCUGUGUUAGGCCUGCAUUGUACAUGUGGAGCAUAUUUGGACAAUCAGCUCAACAGCGCACAGGCAAAGCCCUUGGUUUAUUC
rnacentral:lncRNA from 1 species